GACGAACGCUGGCGGCGUGCCUAAUACAUGCAAGUCGAGCGGAAGUUGAAGAGCUUGCUCUUCAACUUUAGCGGCGGACGGGUGAGUAACACGUGGGCAACCUGCCCUGCAGAUCGGGAUAACUCCGGGAAACCGGUGCUAAUACCGAAUAGUUUUCGCCACCUCCUGGUGGCGUACGGAAAGACGGUUUCGGCUGUCACUGCAGGAUUGGCCCGCGGCGCAUUAGCUAGUUGGUGGGGUAACGGCCCACCAAGGCGACGAUGCGUAGCCGACCUGAGAGGGUGAUCGGCCACACUGGGACUGAGACACGGCCCAGACUCCUACGGGAGGCAGCAGUAGGGAAUCUUCCGCAAUGGACGAAAGUCUGACGGAGCAACGCCGCGUGAGUGACGAAGGUUUUCGGAUCGUAAAACUCUGUUGUGAGGGAAGAACAAGUACCACUUAACUACUGGUACCUUGACGGUACCUCACCAGAAAGCCACGGCUAACUACGUGCCAGCAGCCGCAGUAAAAC
rnacentral:rRNA from 1 species